GAUGAACGCUGGCGGCGUGCUUAACACAUGCAAGUCGAACGAAGCAGCUUGAUUUGAUUCUUCGGAUGAAGAUCUUGGUGACUGAGUGGCGGACGGGUGAGUAACGCGUGGGUAACCUGCCUCAUACAGGGGGAUAACAGUUAGAAAUGACUGCUAAUACCGCAUAAGACCACAGCACCGCAUGGUGCAGGGGUAAAAACUCCGGUGGUAUGAGAUGGACCCGCGUCUGAUUAGGUAGUUGGUGGGGUAACGGCCUACCAAGCCGACGAUCAGUAGCCGACCUGAGAGGGUGACCGGCCACAUUGGGACUGAGACACGGCCCAAACUCCUACGGGAGGCAGCAGUGGGGAAUAUUGCACAAUGGGGGAAACCCUGAUGCAGCGACGCCGCGUGAGCGAUGAAGUAUUUCGGUAUGUAAAGCUCUAUCAGCAGGGAAGAAAAUGACGGUACCUGACUAAGAAGCACCGGCUA
rnacentral:rRNA from 1 species